rnacentral:rRNA from 1 species
AGUGAACGCUGGCGGUAGGCCUAACACAUGCAAGUCGAACGGCAGCACAGUAAGAGCUUGCUCUUACGGGUGGCGAGUGGCGGACGGGUGAGGAAUACAUCGGAAUCUACUUUUUCGUGGGGGAUAACGUAGGGAAACUUACGCUAAUACCGCAUACGACCUACGGGGGAAAGCAGGGGAUCUUCGGACCUUGCGCGAUUGAAUGAGCCGAAGUCGGAUUAGCUAGUUGGCGGGGUAAAGGCCCACCAAGGCGACGAUCCGUAGCUGGUCUGAGAGGAUGAUCGGCCACACUGGAACUGAGACACGGUCCAGACUCCUACGGGAGGCAGCAGUGGGGAAUAUUGGACGAUGGGCGCAAGCCUGAUCCAGCCAUACCGCGUGGGUGAAGAAGGCCUUCGGGUUGUAAAGCCCUUUUGUUGGGAGAGAAGAGCAGCAGGUUAAUACCCCGCUGUUCUGACGGUACCCAAAGAAUAAGCACCGGCUAACUUCGUG